rnacentral:pre_miRNA from 1 species
GGGUGCCAUUUCCAAAGCCAGGAGUUAGAUUAUGUGUCACUCUGGCUGUAUGGCCCCCCUC